AUUUUUGACAAAAAGGGGGAGAGCGUAGAUGAAGGGGGAGAGUAUGGAUGAACAGACAUUGAACUGAAGCAGAGGAUGAUGAGUUCAAGAACAAAGGGGAGAUGUGAACAAAGGGGGAGAAGGAAAUCAAGACUUCAAGACUCCUAGUUGCGUCUAAGUCAUAAAGUCUGUUUUAGGAGUUUUGAUGUAAUUUUGAGUUUCAUAUUGUAUUUGGAUUACACGCGAGGGGUUGAUGUUUUGGUGAUGACAUUGAACUUCGUUUUUUCUUUAAAUUGUAAUUUGUGAGUUUAUGUGUGUUUUGU
rnacentral:lncRNA from 1 species